CAACUAGCGUUAGCGAGUGGAUGAAUCUCUGGACGGACGAUAAUUCCUCUGUUAUGGAGGCUUUCAUGUCUUCCCCCGAUCUCUCAUCCAUAUGGCCACCUCCGGCGCCGCCGCAAUCCGCCGCCGUCUUCAACCAGGACACGCUCCAGCACCGCCUCCAGGCUCUCAUCGAGGGCGCCAGAGAGAGCUGGACCUACGCCAUCUUCUGGCAGCACUCCUACGACUAUUCCGGCUCCGCUCUCCUCGGCUGGGGCGACGGUUACUACAAAGGCGACGAUGACAAAGCCAAGGCCAAGGCCAAAGCUAAAGCCACCUCCGCCGCCGAGCAGGACCACCGCAAGAAGGUCCUCCGCGAGCUCAACUCCCUCAUCUCCGGCUCUUCCGCCGCUUCCUCCGACGACGUAGACGAGGAG
rnacentral:lncRNA from 1 species